GCCGAGAUCGCAUAGCCUGGUAUCGCGCUCGACUGGAAAUCGAGUGGGUCCGUCCCGCGAGAGUUCAAAUCUCUCUCUCGGCG
rnacentral:tRNA from 2 species